CUGCCAAUUCUCCACAGUACUAUAUCCUAUAAGGGUGACCCCUUGGAUAAUUUGGAGGCUACCAUACCUCCCCAUACACGGGCUACGUCCCGACAUUACUGACCGCUCAUCCCGGUCUUAUUGAGGGUGACCCCCUCCUCAGACCACUCCCAGGAAAUCUCUAAGUGGUACUGAUUGAAACAAUUCUGGGUGACCCCCAGUUGUACGUGGAGGCCCACUAAGUGGCAAUAAGUGUACUACCGUACCUGACACCUGUUCGGUACCCCAUAGACCGAAAGAGUGUCCCAACAUGCCAUAAGAGACAUUCAUACAGGGGUGACCCCCCUAUGCUGGGUGAACCCCAAGCGAGUCUUACUCCGGUGCUAG